UAGGGAAUAUUGGUCAAUGGACGCAAGUCUGAACCAGCCAUGCCGCGUGCAGGAAGACGGCCUUCUGGGUUGUAAACUGCUUUUCNCAGGGAAGAAAAGGUCUUGCGAGGCAACUUGCCGGUACCUGAGGAAU
rnacentral:rRNA from 1 species